GAAAUGCGAUAAGUAAUGUGAAUUGCAGAAUUCAGUGAAUCAUCGAAUCUUUGAACGCACAUUGCGCCCCUUGGUAUUCCGAGGGGCAUGCCUGUUCGAGCGUCAUUACACCAAUCAAGCUAAGCUUGGUAUUGGGCCCUCGUCCCCCCGUCAAGGGGGGUCGUGCCCCGAAACCCUCGGCGAAGUCACACCGGCUUUGGGCGUAGUAGAAUUUCCACAACGUCCACGAGUCCGGCGAGGCCUUCCGCCGCCAAAACACAAACUUUUUUCAGGUUGACCUCGGAUCAGGUAGGGAUACCCGCUGAACUUAA
rnacentral:misc_RNA from 1 species